AAAGUUAAAGUCAGUGAAACCAUCAAAGGCAUUUUCACCUCUUGAUUUGAGCAAACGUUUGUGAUUGUAUUCAGUGUUAACAAAGGUUAUGUGAAAGCCUCUAAGGUGAAGCAGUUUUGCUAUUUUCAACAAUGCAUUGAUAUGGCCUUGAACUGGAAAUGGAGUUAACACUGCAUGUGGCUUUUUCUCUUCAAAGUUACUCAUGAUUGAUAUUUUUCUUAUGUAAGAAAACUAAGAAAAAACUGAGGUGAAAAAUCUAUGAGGCCUCUAUAUAUAACAAUGAGUGAAUUUUGUUACGUAUCUAUUAUCUAUUGUAUAAUAUAAAAAAAUUCUUAAGAAUGGAAAAAACCAUUUUUCUUUUUGAAUAAUUCAAUUACUGUCUAAUUCAUUUUUAUCUAAUUUUUAGUAAAUUGAAAAUCGGAUUUUCUAAUUAAGAUAAUCCAUAUUUGAUAAUUUUUUCUAUACAUCAAACUUUCUUUAUAAACUCUUCCCCUUAAAUAUAUUAAGAGAAGGCCAUAUUUGACAAUAUAUCUUCUAAACCAAUAAAAAUCAAAUUGCAAAUUCUAUGGUACAGCCAAUAUAUUUGAAUGUACCGGUACACUUACUCUUUAAAUUAAUGGUUAAAUGAGUUGUUUUUUGAAGAAAAAUAUUAUUUUCUAUCCUUUAUAUUUAUAAUAACUAAAUCUUAUUCAUCAAAAGUGUUAACGAAAUAAAAUUAAUUUUUUUUGAAUUUUUAGCACUCAUAGUUGAGAAUAUUGAUUAUAUUUUACGAUAAUAUGCAAAAAAAUUACUAUAAUUCUUAUAAAUAAUGAACUGAUGUUUUUUCUUAUGAAAUGAUGUUCUAUAAAAUAUAAAUAUUGAUAAAUAGUUAUUUAUUUCACAAAAAAUAAUCGUUAAUUUAUAAAAUUAUGAAAAAAGAGUACCGGUACACCUCAUUUUGUGAGUCUACAAUAGAAGUUCCCCAAAUCAAAUACAGUCAAAAUAUACUUUAAGUAAAAAAAAUAAAAAUCAAAUAUACUUAAUACAAUAAAAAUCCAAUUUGGACUUGACAAAGAAAAAAAUCCAACAUGUGCAACAAAUUGACGUGGUGAACGAAAGCAACGUCUGCAUGUUGAAAGGAGACCACUUUCUGUGGUGGGGACUGAUUUUAUAUACAGACAAUGGUGUUCAGACGGGAACAGACUUGCCAGUCUAUUCUUUUAAUAGUGUUAAUUAAGGGUGUUUUGGUGCAUUUUUAAUCGAUUUUGAGGUUAAAAGUUAUCCAAAUCGUAAAAUAAAAGAGCAUCAUGUUUGAUUUAAUUGACUUUUAAAAUAAAACUUGAACCAAAUCAAUAUGGGUUGAAUUAUAUUGGUUCGUGUGGUUUUUUCGAGACUAUAAUUUUUUAUUUUUAACAUUAAAAUCGAGUUAAAAACUUAUAACACAACAUAUUUCCAAUAAUGUUUCCGACAAUGUUUUCAAUUUCAUCCAACAUGACAAUUUUAUUUUCACCAAAUAAUAAUAUAGACGAAAUUUAAAAUGUGGACAAAAAGUAAUCCUAUUAAAGAAAUGUAAAAUACUAAGAUUUAUCAUUCUAUAAAAUUUUAUUUUAUAAAAGUUUCCAUUUUUGAAAUAAAAAGUAAAGAAGAAAAUUAACAAGAGAAAAUAAUAUGUCGUUUUAUAAAAGUUUUCAUUGAAUUUCUAUGAGUAUUGGUCUACCUGAAUUAGGUUUAAUUAGCGUUUUUCUUAUGUUGCGGUUUAGUUUGGUUAAUAAAAUAAAAACUGCAAACCGAACCAAACCUUGCGGUUAAGUAAAAAAGUGAUCCGAAUUCAUCCAAACCAAAUGCAUUUUUUGCGGUUUUAGUUUGAGUUGGUUCGGUUUGCAGUUUUUCUACUGGAUUGGUCAGUUUUGAACACCACUAUUUUUUUUGUCUAGUAGCCUAGUGUCUGGAGCUCACACAAUUAAAUUUGAAGAAGUGGGGUAUCUGGGGUUCAAACCCCGACCCUGUAUAAAUUGUGCAAUGUUCUUAUCAAUUGAGCUAAGCUCACGGGGACGUUUCGAACACCUCUAGUGCUAAUGCAUAUAAAUUAUGAAUAUUUAGUAGUUUUUAUGAAAUUUUAAUUUUGAUUAAAAUUAUAGAUAUAGAUAUUUUGUUCUUUAUAUUCUAACAAAUUAUACUUAUUUUUUUUAAAUAACACUAACAAUAUAGCAAAUAUAAUAUAAAUUCUUAUCUUUUUAUUUAUAUUUUUAUUUUUAUAAGCCUUAUUUCAUAAGCCGUUUUCAGCAAAUUUUCAAAAAUGUUUUCAAAAUCAUUUAUGAAAACAUCUUAUAUAUGAAAACAAUUUAACAUAAAUUUAUCUUUUGCUGUAGAAAUAGUUUAUGCAUAAGUGCUCAUCAUAAUUAAUAAGAACUUGCGCUAUAAAUUAUUUAUCCAAACAUGGCCUCUAUUCAUUACUAUUCAACUUAUGAAGCGUGUAAGAAUUAUACUCCCCGAUGUCCAAAAAGGAACUGAAAGGUGAGCAUUUCUUAAUUCAUUGAUUUAGAAUUAUUAAGUUAUGUUUACAAUUUUUCAUGGUUCAUAUUUUUUUUCAGUUUUCAGUAGGACGCCUAUCUUACUUUUUAAUGAUUUAUUCUAUUGAAUUUAUAGAGAAAAGGAGGGAAACUGAAAAGUUAUAAAUCUGUUAUUGAUCAAAUGACUCCCUAAAACUAGUUCUGCAGUAUACCAAUCUUAUAUAUCAUUAAAAGCUUACUAGGGUUUUUUAUACAAGAAAAUGUUAAUGCUUAGUAUAUUAUGUAAGUAACCUGAAUUGGAAUCUUAGACCUCAUGUUAAGCAGUGGUUUAGAGUUUUUUUUUAUAUAAGAAAAUGUUAAUUGUAGUGAGUUAUGUUAGUAACCAGACUUGUUAGUUAUUGAUUUGAAUUCUGUUACAACUCAGACACUUAAGCUACCCCUUGAGGAUAAAAUUAUGCAAGAGUUACUUACAACAAAUAACUGUAGUAACCAUCGAUUUCAGAACUGGAUCCGCUGAUUGAACCAGGAAUCGGCCAGUCUAUACCGGUUGUUCAACCAUGGUCGGUUAUAAGUCUGUCAGAACCUCAUUCAACCAUGGUUUAUUCAACCGAAUCAUUGUUUUUUCGAAUGUUCAUACAUAUUUCGGGAAAUAUUCUUUAAUUCCUGGAUAUGAAAGACAACCAAAAUCUCAUAUUAGUUUUAUUCAUGGUCCUAUGUUAAAACCUGUUCUAUAAAGUAGCUGAUCUUAUGUACGCCUGAUAUAUUUGAAGUUUGAUCCUUCUGUUUGCAUAGGCUGUUCUUUGAUGAUAUUGAAAAUGAAUAGUAUAAUUGCAUAGUAGUACUCAACAUAAGUGAAUGUCUUUUAUUGUUAUAGGAUAGAACCUUUCAAAUCAAUCUCCGAAGCAAGAAGCUUACAAGCAAUGAGAAGUUUAUGAAUAUAAUAUUAAUGUGAUCUUUAGUUACGAAGAAUGAACUUGAUGAAGUUGAAUGCAUUGUUACGAUGUUCCUGACUAAAAUGUUGAUAUCCACACUUAAGAACAUAGGUAGACAUAAAAUGCAAAUUAUUUGGUCCGAACAAAACUAUAAAAAUCGUACAAAAGUCACUUAAGUUCGAUUUUGUUUGAGUAACACCUCCUUAAUCACUUUCUCCAAGUUCAUGUAUGAACAGCCUCCAGGUCUCGUGUCCUCCUCCACCUUCUUCUUCAACUCAAUUGCCUUUUGCCUCAUCUUCUUUGCUUUCUCUCCCACCAUCAAUUCAUUAACCAGCUUCUCCACCUCCUCUCUCUUCACAUUAGUGUCGAUUUCAAUUCCAAUUUUCCAUGUAUUGCAUAAAUAUCUGCAGCUUACUGGGUGAUCAGCGAAAAAUGGCCAACACAACAUUGGAACUCCAGCAGAUAUGCUUUCAGUGAUUGAGUUCCAUCCGCAAUGAGUCAAGAAUCCACCAAUUGAAGGGUGGUUCAGUACUUGCUCUUGCGGACACCAGCUCGUUAUUAGGCCUCUAUCUGAAAUUUCAUUCACAAACUCCGAUGACAAAACAGCUGAGCCGCCGAUGACAAGAUCGGGCCUAAUGAUCCACAAAAAGGGUUGCUUGCUAUUUGCUAAACCCCAUGCAAACUCUAACAGUUUUUCUGCAGUCAUAACUGUCAAGCUCCCAAAAUUCACAUAAACAACAGACCUAGGUUCCUUGGAUUCAAGCCAAUAAAGACACUUGGUAUCUUCUUUCCAAAAAUUGGUGCUUAAAGAUGUCAAAUGGUUUUCUGGACUUUGAUUUAAAAACGAAGAUAAAGGGCCAAUAGCAUGAAUACAAGGGAACACAGUGGAGAGAGCAUUCAUUACAUCCUUCUCAAGUUCAUUAGAAGUGUUUAAAAUAUAAGCAGAGGGUCGGUGAGCCCUUCCAGACGCUUCAAGGAUAAAUUCUACCAUGGAAUCAUUUGGAUAUUUUGCUCUUACAAAGUCCGGAAGAUCCUUGAUUCGGAAGUUUUUCAUGUUGGAAAUUUAGGUCUUAAUAUAAACAGAUUUCAUAAUACAUGUUCAACAACUAUGAAUCAAUAGCGGAAGCAAACAAAACAUUGAACAUGAUUAUGAUCGGAUCUACGACAUGUUUGAUUUACCAAGGAUAUUAAGAAUUAGGGUAUUAGGAAUACCUGGAUAAAGCUUUUGUAACAACCCUCUCAUCAACAACGAUAACCAAAGAGAGGAGAUGAUCUGAAACACGCAAUAGAGUUAGCGGCGGCUGAUUUGGUUCUUCCUCAACCGGUACCUUUAUGCCUCAAGUUCUCUUCAGAUGGGGAGAAGAGAGAGUAUUGCCGUGUACGGUGUAUUGGGGACCAUAGCCUCUUUUAUAUUGGAUGGCCAUUAGGGUUUCCCAUUAUUCCAUUAAUGGGUCAUCCGGACAUCCACUCAUGUUGAGUCCAUAUCAACUAAUUAAAUAAUUAAUUAUCCAAAAUAGAAAUCUAAUUAGCCUUAUUACUUAAUUUGAUCACUAAUCAAUUAAGGCUCACAAUUGAUAAAUAGCUAAUAUAAUUAUUAUUACGAUAUUUGCCCACAUAAUGAUAUUGGAAUAUUAUUAAUUAAUAAAAUAUUCCAACAUUUCAGUCCUGGAAUACAAUCUACUUUAGUGUCCAAAUAUCCGUUUGUGAGAUAACUGUCAUCUGUACAUCAAAUUACAAAAUCUGUUAACUUGAAAUGUCAUAUUAAUACUUUAACUACACUACAUCUAUGAAGAAAGAAAGAAGAUUAAUUGAUUGUUACCUUUUAGUGGUAUGACACCUUUGUCAAACAGUGUAGGUAAGUGAAAACAAGUCAAAAACAUACAUGCACUGGCUGGACUAAAGAAAACAACAGGGAUUGAAAGUUCUUCAGCAGCUUGUAUUGUAAAAUACAUGCUAUUAUCAGAAACUAUGCAAGUAACUGGAGGGACAAGACCAGAAGUGGCAGAGUCAUUAAGUCUAGCAAGAAGUUCACAAAAAGGUUGUAGGAAGUUCUUUCUGAUUGAUUCACAUAGAGCAUAUAUGUCUUGAUUAACAUCACUAUCGCCUUCUAUCGGAGUUAAACCAUCUGGAAUAGUCUCAAAGGUAAAAUCGGUGAAACCAUCAAACGCUUUUGGACCUCUUGAUUUGAGCAAGCGUUUGUGAUUGUAUUCGGUGUUGACAAAGGUUAUGUGAAAGCCUCUAAGGUGAAGAAGCUUUGCUAGUGUUAUUAAUGGAGUGAUAUGUCCUUGAAGUGGAUAUGGAAUCAACACUGCAUGUGGCUUUUUAUCAGAAAAAUGACUCAUUUCUGAGUUUUCUUGUAUUAUAGUAUGUGUAUGACUUGAGGUUUAGAGAUAAAGGGAUUAGCCAGUGCCAACAAUACACCUACCUAACAACUCUAAUCAUAAUGCCAAAAAACAUGUCAUGUGACAGCGUUUAAAUUAGUCUGUAGCUGAAUAAAAAUUUGGUGAUGAAUAAUGGCAAUCAUUAGGCUGUGACCAAUAAUGUUGGAGGACUUAAUGAUAAGUAAUCUAAGUCAAAUAAUUGCAUGGUUUUGUAACCAAUAUAUGUGAACAAUAAAAGAUAUUUAAACUGUCUCAUUAUUGUAAGGGAAAUAUAUUACAGACUCUAAUUUGAACUACACAAUAUUCUAUCCGUCGCAUAAAAAGUGUUUUAUUUAGAAUGUGUACGAUUCUUAUGAAAAUAAUUAGCUGUGUUGAUUUUAAUGGUAAAAUUAAUAUCAUUUACUAAAAUAUUCAUAUUAAUUUAUAUCAUUUACUACUAAGACUUUGUUUGCGAGUUGGAUUUUGGAGGGGAGGGGAAGGGAAGGAAAGGCUCAUGGCUCAUGGAGUGGUAAAUCCUUGUUUGCGAGUUUUAAAAAAACAAGGGAAAGGUUUUGGGGGGUUUUGAAGGGCUUUAUUUGUCCAAUUUUAAAGUUCCCCCAAAUUGGGGGGUUUUGGGGGGUUAAACAUACAAAUUGACAAUUUUGCCCUCUUAAUAAUUCAAAAUUCUAAUUUUAGACAUUACUAAAAUUAUUACAAUCUUUUUUAAAAACAACUUAUUCAAAACAACUUAUUUAUACAAAACAGCUUAUUACGACCUCAUUUUCAAAAACGGCUUAUUCAAAACAGCUUAUUACGACCUCAUUUUCAAAGACCACUUAUUCAAAACAACUUAUUUAUAAAAAACAGCUUAUUACGACCUCAUUUUCAAAAACCGCUUAUUCAAAACAACUUAUUUAUGCAAAACAGCUUAUUACGACCUCAUUUUCAAAAACAUCUUAUUUAUGCAAAACAGCUUAAUACGACCUCUUUUUCAAAAACAGCUUACUCAAAACAGCUUAUUUAUGCAAAACAGCAUUAUACGAUCUCUUUUUCAAAAACAGCUUAUUACGACCUCAUUUUCAAAAAUCGCUUAUUCAAAACAACUUAUUUAUACAAAACAGCUUAAUAUGACUUCAUUUUAAAAAACAGCUUAUUCAAAACACCUUAUUUAUGCAAAACAGCUUAAUACGAUCUCUUUUUCAAAAAAAAGCUUACUCAAAGCAGCUUAUUUAUACAAAACAGCUUAAUACAAUCUAUUUUUCAAAAACAACUUUUUCAAAACAGCUUAUUUAUCCAAAACAGCUUAUUAUCACCUCUUUUCAAAAAAACAGUUUAUUUGUGCAAAACACCUUAUUUCGACCUCUUUUCAAAAAAUAGCUUAUUCAAAACAACUUAUUUUUACAAAACAGUUUGGAUAAAUAAGUUGUUUUGAAUAAGUUUUUUUUAAAAAAGAGAUCGUAUUAUGCUAUUUUGCAUAAAUAAGUUGUUUUGAAUAAGCUGUUUUUGAAAAAGAGAUCGUAUUAAGUUGUUUGGUAUAAAUAAGCUGUUUUGAAAUAGCUGUUUUUAUAAAAGAGAUUGUAUUAAGCUGUUUCGCAUAAUAAGUUGUUUUGAAUAAGCUGUUUCUGAAAAUGAGGUCAUAUUAAGCUGUUUUGUAUAAAUAAGUUGUUUUGAAUAAGUGAUUUUUGAAAAUGAGGUCAUAAUAAGCUGUUUUAUAUAAAUAAGUUGUUUUGAAUAAGCUGUUUUUGUAAAAGAGAUUGUAUUAAGCUGCUUUGUAUAAUAAGUUGUUUUGAAUAAGCUAUUUUUGAAAAUGAGGUCAUAUUAUGUUGUUUUGUAUAAAUAAGUUGUUUUGAAUAAGCGAUUUUUGAAAAUGAGGUCAUAAUAAGUUGUUUUGUAUAAAUAAGUUGUUUAAAUGAGGUCGUAAUAAGUUGUUUUGUAUAAAUAAGUUGUUUUGAAUAAGCGGUUUUUGAAAAUGAGGUCGUAAUAAGCUGUUUUGUAUAAAUAAGCUAUUUUGAAUAAGCUAUUUUUGAAAAAGAGAUUGUAUUAAGCUGUUUUGCAUAAAUAAGCUGUUUUGAAUAAGUUGUUUUUGAAAAAGAGAUUGUAAUAAGUUGUUUUGUAUAAAUAAGCUGUUUUGAACAAGUUGUUUUUUUGAAAAGAGGUCGUAAUAAGCUGUUUUGUAUACAUAAAUUGUUUUGGAUAAGUUGUUUUUGAAAAGAGAUUGUAUUAAGCUGUUUUGAAUAAGCUGUUUUUCUGAAAAGAGGCCAUAAUAAGUUGUUUUGUAUAAAUAAGCUAUUUUGAAUAAGUUGUUUUUUAAAAAAAGAUCGUAAUAAUUUGUUUUUCAUAAGAUAAGCUAUUUUUUAAAAAGAGGUCGUAAUAAGUUGUUUUGUAUAAGUAAGUUGUUUUUAAAAAGUGAUUGUAAUAAGUUUUUUUUUUUUUUUAUAAAUAAGUUGUUUUUUAAAAAUAGAUUUUAAUAAUUUGUUUUUCAUGCGAUAAGUUGCUUUGAAUAAAUUUGAAGUUAAAUUACGAAGUAUAACAAUGUAUUGAUUUUAAGAGGAAAAAUGGUAAAAUAGUAAAAUUAUACUAUAAGCCCUCCAUCUCCUUUUCUUUAUUGACUUUUUAACUCCCAAACAAGAGGAAGGUUUUCCCUCCUUUCUCCCUUCCCUCCCUUUCCUUCCCUUCCUCUCCUUAGCCUUUCCUUUCCUUCCCCUCAAAACUCGCAAACAAAGCCUAAAAUGUAUUUUGAGAGUUCGCUUCGUAAAAUAUUUUUUGUUUAAUAGUGAGUUGAACAAAAAUUAAUUUAUGUUUAGAUAUAUUUAUUAGCGCAUCUUGCAACGUUUCUCUUUUGUUGUAAUCUAAUUAUGAGUGAUAAGAUAAUUAACUCGAUGAGAGUUAAGAGAAGAAAAUAUAUGUUGCAAUCUGAUCUCAUUAUUAAUGGAAAAAAAUUUACUACAACUUAUUUAUAUGGAAAUUACUUGCUAGUCAAGCAAAACAUACUCAACUUACCUAGCUGUAUUUUGUAGUUCAGAUAUUGAUGAAAAAGCUAAACUAUGGAAAUUACAACAACUUAAAAUUUACUACAACUUAUUUAUAUGGAAAUUACUUGUGAAUUUACAUAAAAUUAAGACUAAAAAUUAAUUAUUCUAUUGCAUCUAGAUAGAAAAUAGAGAGAGAAAAAAAAUUAAAAUUUUAGUUCUGUUAUUGAUCAAAAAGCUAAACUAUAACUAUAUUAACUAUAACAUCUAGAUAAGAGAAAUAGGAUGCUCAUAUACAUAUUCUCACCAAUAUUCUUCACUAGUAGAAUAUGUAAAGAGAACAAAAAUAUCAUAUUAGUUUCAGUCAUGUUCCAGUCACACCAACAUGGACACUAGACAUGACACGACUCGACACUGACAAUGAAAUUUUGAUGCCUGCAAUAAUUUGAGAAAAUAGAAUAAAUGUAUUUAAAUGUGUUGGAGUCGUUUAGGUGUCAAAUAUCAACAUGUUUCGGACACUAAACACUCAUCGAAGUGUCAAUGUUGCACCCUUUAAAACCUUACACCUAAGUAAGCUUACCAUUUCUAUUUUUUUAUAUUAAAACUGAUUCCAAUGUUAAAGUAAAACAUUAACUUAUGGCUUGUAUUUAAUUUAGUUAUUCCUAACAAAACUAUAAAUCUUGUUUAACAUAGAAGGAUAUUAAUUUAAACCUGAACACACAGCAAAGUGAUUGUUUGCUUUAAUUUAUCCUUCAUAUGAUAAUGGAAUUCAAGAUACUGUGGAAAAAGCCUCACUACCCCAACUUCAAAAUUUCAAAGCUGUAAAAUUCAACGAAUAAAAAUUUAAAUACAUAUGCCAUAGAAUUAUCCAAUUCAAUCCAUUAGUUUAAGAAUUCUUGCACAAGAUAUGUUCAAUUCCAUCAUCAUGAACUCUUAAUUUAUUAGCAUCAAUAUAUUUGUUAUACAAUACAAUAGCAUCAUCCCUUAAAUUCAGUAGGAGAAUAUCAAUGGAUCAAUAUAAUACUACAUUGCAUAAAAAAUUCACUUAUAGGUUUGAUUUUAUUUAAGCAAAACCUCCUUAAUCACUUUUUCCAAGUUUAUGUAUGAACAACCUCCAGGUCUCGUGUCCUCCUCCGCCUUCUUCUUCAACUCGAUUGCCUUUUGCCUCAUCUUCUUUCCAUUCUCUCCCACCAUCAAUUCAUUGACCAACUUCUCCACCUCCUCUCUCUUCACAUUGGUGUCAACUUCCAUCCCAAUCUCCCAUUCAUUGCAAAUAAUUCUACAGUUUGUUGGCUGAUCAGCAAUGAAUGGCCAACACAACAUUGGCACUCCAGCACAUAUGCUUUCAGUGGUUGAGUUCCAUCCACAGUGAGUCAAGAAUCCACCAAUUGAAGGGUGGUUCAAUACUUGCUCUUGCGGGCACCAACCCGCGAUUAGGCCUCUAUCUGAAAUUUCAUUCUUAAACUCAGAUGACAAAACCAAGGAACCACCAAUGACAAGAUCAGGUCUAAUGAUCCAUAAAAAAUGUUGCUUGCUAUUGGCCAAACCCCAAGCAAACUCUAAUAGUUUUUCUGUAGUCAUAACUGUUGUGCUCCCAAAAUUCACAUAAACAACGGACCUCGGUUCCUUUGAUUCAAGCCAAUCAAGACACUUGGUAUCCUCUUUCCAAAGAUUUGUACUUAAAGAUGCUAAGUGGUUUUGUGGACUUUGAUUUAAAAAUGAUGAUAAAGGGCCAAUGGCAUAAAUAGAAGGGAACUUAGUGGAGAGAACAUUUAUUACAUCCUUCUCAAGUUCAUCAGAAGUAUUAAAAAUAAAAGCAGAGUCUUUGUGAGCCGUUCCUGCGCCUUCAAUGAUAAAUUCUAUGAUCGAAUCAUUUGGAUCAGUAAUCCUUAUAAAGUCAGGCAAAUCCUUUAGUCGAAAGUUCUCCAAUCCUGGAAUACAGUCCACUUUAGUGUCCAAAUAUCCGUUUGUCAGAUAACUCUUAUCUGCAUAUAUCAAAUUUAUAAAAGUUGUUAGCUUGAAAUUGAAUCUUCAUACUCCAAAUAUAUGUCAUAUGAACACGCUAACUAUUCUACAUAUAUGAAGAAAGAAAGAAGAUUAAUUGUUACCCUUUAGUGGUAUGAGACCUUUAUCCAACAAUGUACUAAAAUGAAUACAAGUCAAAAACAUACAUGCACUGGCUGGAUUAAAGAAAACAAGUGGGAGUGAAAGUUCUUCAGCAGCUUGUAUAGUAAAGGACAUGGUAAUAUCAGAAACUAUACAAGUGACUGGAGGGAUAAGACCAGAUGUUGCAGAGUCAUUAAGUCUAGCAAGAAGUUCGCGGAAAGGUUGUAGGAAGUUCUUUCUGAUUGAUUUACAAAGAGCGUAAAUGUCUUGACUAACAUCACCAUCACCAUCCGUUGGAGUUAAACCAUCUGGAAUAGUCUCAAAGCUAAAAUCAGUUAAAUCAUCAAAGGCAUUUGGAGCUCUUGACUUAAGCAACCGUUUGUGAUUGUAUUCAGUGUUUACAAAGGUUAUGUGAAAUCCUCGAAGGUGAAGAAGUUUAGCUAGUUUCAACAAUGGAUUGAUAUGGCCUUGAACUGGAGAUGGGAUUAACACAGCAUGAGGUUUUGAAUCACUCAUUUCUGAGUUUGUGUUUGAAUUUUGAGCAAAGGGAAGCCAAUGGUUUAAUAGAGAUAAAGUGACCACUUUUUGUUAUAAAAGGAAAUCAAUUUUUCAUUAAAAAGUUUAUAGCACAAACUUAAGUAUGUAUUUGUUUGCGGUGACGAGAAUUGAUUUGAAUGAAUUUGUUUAACAAAAUUAGUGUUUGGUUAAAGUGCGUUGAAUGUGAUAUAUAUUUAUAUAAAUUUACGUAAAAUUGAUUUGAAAAAUAAAUUGAAGACUUAAAUUCGAUUAUAAAAAUAAAAUUUUGAUACCUUAGCUUUAAAUAACGAGCGGCUUAAAGGCAAAAUCAAUUCCAUUUAAGAACACACAACCAUAGGGUCUGACUAGGCUUAUCUAAGUUAAAUACUGUUAGUUAGAUGUCGUUCGAGAUUUAUUUUGGAAUUGAUAGAAUAAAAAAGUUGAGAAACACUUUAUAUUGUGAUCCUAAGAUUACUAAUAUAACCAAAUUCCAUCUAAUCACAAUUUUUUUUUACAAGCAAUAAUCAUAACUAACUUAUAAAUAUCUUUAAAAAUAUUAUAUUAAUUUAUCAAACAAUAUCAUUAUUUGCUAGGGUGGAAAUAAAUGUGGUCAAAUUAAUGUACCUAGCCAGUGUUAAAAGCAAUACACCUACAUUUCAGGUUUUUUCUAGAUUACCCUCUCUUAUUUAGAGGAUAUUUUACCCUCUCAUGAUAUCAACCAAUUAAAAUGUAAUAUAUAUUGGCAACAUUAAAUGUCAUAAAUGAGUCAAUUUUUUUUUCUAAAAAAAGAAUCAAUUAUAAUCAUAAGGUAACUUUUAAUACUUUUAAUUUUUAUUUAAUUAUAGACAUGAUUACAUUAGAGAUCCUUUAUCUUAUUUAUUUGUUACACUUGGGUCCUUUAUCUUUAUUUAUUUUCACUCAGGUCUUUUAUCUCUUAUAAAAGCACAUAUACACCAUUUUUCUCAUUUUUUUUAUUAAAAAAAAUACAUAAUUUUAUUUUUUAAAAUAUCUUUUUAUUAAAAAUGAAACAAAUCCAGAAAUAUGAUGAAGAUGUUCAUCAUCUUCAUCUUCUUCCAUUGAAUAUUCAUCAUCUUCAUUGAAUCAAAAAAAUUUCUACACAAAUAUAUCUCCAAAUAUCAUGAAUUAAUGUUAUAUUCACCUCAAAUCUUCCUUUAAACACAAAAAUCAAACCCCUAUAGAGAAAGAGAUUUAGUUUCAUCACCAAAAAAGAAAAAUUAGUUAUAUAAAUUGUCACGCUGUAUAUUAUUAUUAUUAUUAUUAUUAUUAUUAUUAUUUUCUAACUCAAUAUUCAAGCCCGAUAUAAAAAUAAUCCCAAAAUUGAUAGCAACUUUACACAUCAAUUUUGUUGUUUUCAGAGCAAUCUUAACUUUCGUAAAGCCUAACCCUUCCGUCAGUGACUAAGCCUCCACCAUCCGCCUUGCAACAUUUGUGAAAUUAAGGUUUUGAUUUUUGUGUUUAAAAUAAGAUAUGAGGUGAAUAUAACAUUAAUUCACGAUAUUUGGAGAUAUAUUUUAGUAGAUUUUUUUUUAUUUAAAGAAGAUGAUGAAGAUUCAAAGGAAGAACAUGAAGAUGAUGAACAUCUUCAUCAUAGUUUUGGAUUUUUUUUUUCAGUUUUAAUAAAAAUAUAUUUUUAAAAAUAAAAUUAUGUAUUUUUUAAUAAAAAAAUGCGAAAAAAGAUGUAUAUGUGCUUUUAAGAGAGAUAAAGGACCUAAACGGGAAAAAAUAAAGACAAAGGACCAAAGUGUUACAAAUAAAUAAGAUAAAUGACCCAUAAUGUAAUAUUGCCUUAAUUAUAUUUAGGUGUUCAAUCUUAAUUAAUUUACACUACAAGAUUGGCUUAGAACAAUAAAAAUUUCACAUCAAAUUUCUUUAAUCUGAAUGUUCUUAAAUUUAUCAAUUAUAUUUAUAAAAUUUAUUCCUCCCAUUUUGAUUGUUCAAUUUUGUCGUUCCCAACUGCCACAUUUUUCAAUUUUCGUGAGAAUCGUCAUGAUUUCAAAUAUCGUGAGAAUUGCCGUUAUUUCCAGUACAACGUCAGGUAUGAUGACUUGAUUUUUCUUGGUUGUGAGGUAGUUAAUUAAAACAAUCGAGUAAAUCAUCCGUUGUACUUUGAGGGCUGCUAGCAGGUGUUGCCGCUGUGAUGUUGUGGGAGUUUGCUAGCAUUUUUUUGGUUGUUGCUGAAAUGAUUAUGUGAUGAGGCUUUUGUUCUUUUAUUUGGACUUAAAGGCUUUUGCUGAUAGUGAGACAGGUCUAUGCGUGUUAACAGAUUUUAUUAGGUUGACUGCUUAAAUAAAAAAAAAAAGUCACGAUACCUGACGCGGUUCUAAAAACAACGACAAUUCUCACGAUAAUUGGAAAUUGCGGCAAUUUGAAACGACAAAAUUGAACAAUCAAAAUGGGAAGAAGAAUGAAAAAGAAACAAAAAUUGAUCAAUAUGGAAGAAUAAAGAAGAAGAAAUUUGAAAGAAGGAGAUGUUUUUGUUCUCACGUUCGAGGUUCUGGAAUGGAAGAAAUUUUAUGAAUGUAAAUGAUGAAUUUAAGGACAUCCAGAAGAAAGAAAUUUGAUGUAAAAUUUUAUUUGUUAUAAGUCUUGUAGUGUAAAUUAAUUAAGAUUGAACACCUUAAUAUAAAAAAAAAUUAAAUCAUUUGUUGUUUAAAAAAAAUAUUAAAAGUAUUAAAAGUUACCUUAUGAUUAAGAUUAACUCUCCUUCAAAAAAAAAAUUAAGAUUAACUCUUUUAUUUUUAAAAAAAAUCUAUUUAUUUAUUUGACAUUUAAUGUUACCUAUGUAUAUUACAUUUGGAUUGAUUGAUAUCAUGAGAGGAUAAAUUACCCUCUAAAUAAGAGAGGGUAACGUAGACUUCACCUACAUUUCAACUCUAGUCAUAAUGCCAACAAAACAUGUCAUAUCACAGCAUUUAAAUUAGUCUGAAGCAGAUGAAAAAUUUGGUGAUGAAUAAUGGCAAUCAUUAGGCUAUGUUACAACUGGUCAUAUAACAAUAUAAGAUGUUGGAGGACUUGAUCUAAAGUAAUCUAAGUCAAAUAAUUGCAUGGUUUUGUAACCAAUAUGUGACCAAUAAAAGAUAGUUAAACUUUCUCAUUAUUGUAAGGGAAAUCUAUUACAGACUCUAAUUUGAACUACACAAUAUUCCGCUCCUCGCAUAAAAAGUGUUCUAUUUGGAUUAUGUUCUAUUUUUAAAAAAUAAAGGGAAAUGUUAACGAGUCUUUUUUGGGGAAUUCUUUAACGACUAUAAGUAAUAAGUAUUUAUAAAAAAAUUUGUAAUUAAUGCAUUGGAAAUUAAAACGUUUGAUUUUUUUUUAAAAGUAAUUGCUUAUUUUAGAAUGUUUAAGGAGUAUUCCGAAGGCGCUCGUUAACACAAAACCCAUAAAUAAAUUAAUUGUGUUGAUUUCAAUAGUAAAAUUAAUAUCGUUUACUAAAAUAUUCAUAUUAAUUAAUAUGAUUUUACUACUAAAAUACGCUUAGUUUGUGUUUUUUCUUAGUUUGUGUUUAAAUGUUGAGAUAAAGUCAAAGUUUCUAGAUUUAUGGAUAAGAAAAUAGAGGAAAAAGGCAAGGGAGACUAACUUAAAGUCCCAACUUAGUAUGACCCUUUUGAUAAUGAUACGUAAGAUAAAAAUAACAAUUUCUUAAUCAAAAGUUGGUAGCACAAACAUAAGCGUGCCUUUGGUUUCAUGUAGUGAGAAUUGAUUUGAGAAUUCGAUCACUUCAUAAAAUUAUUUUUGUUUUAAAGUAAGUUGAACAUAAAAUAAUUUAUGUUUAUAUUUUUUUUUUAGCGCAUUUUGUAAUUUUUCUAGUUUGUUCAGUAAUCUAAUUAUGAGUGAUAAGAUAAUUAACUCAUGAGAGUUAAUAGAAGAAAGUAUAUCACCACAACAUAAUGGAUAUCUAUCCUUCAAAUAAAAAAUAUAAUUAACAUUUAGUAACAUUUGAAAAUUAUUACUAAAUCAAGAAAAAUGUUACCGAUUAAAAUCAAUAACCUUUGUACAAUUGUUAGGUAUAGUCUGUAUUACUAAAUACAUUAAUAAUGGCAUAAUACACUUUAUAUAGUGAUCAAGGUUGCUAAUUUCCUCAACAAAAAAAAUAAAGGGUCACUAAUAUUAGCAACCGACAACUAAUCAUAACUAACUUAUAGCUAUCUUAAUCUUUCAAAAAAACUUAUAACUAUCCUAAAAAAUAUGAAACUAAUUCUAACAAAUAUCAAACUAUCUAAGAAAUUAUCAAACAAUAUCUUCAUAUGAUUGUUGACUGACCAAAACAAAAAAGAUUCAAUUUCCUAUUUGAACUAGAAGACAAUCGUAUAAGAUGUUUCUCAUGACAAACAAAAAGAUUCUAUAAUUGUACAGAAAAGAUCCAAAACAAGUAUGACUAUUUUUUUCUUUUAUCAGAGUCUAUUGGCUAUUAUUGGCCAUGCCUUAAUCAGUCCAAAUUUUCACAUCAUGAAAAUAUUAAAUAUUUGAAUUUGCACAAGACAAUAUCUCUCCCUUGUCUUUUAACGAGGGUUGUAAAACUGUUUUAUACAUGCAUCCAAUCAAGCCAUGUCAUAAUGGCAAUUGUUUAGGUUACUUCCUCAAAUAUCUCAAAAUAUAAUAAACAUGGGGUGAUCUGAUAAGAUUCAACGCGUAAAAAAGCUUUACACCGUCAGUUUUCAGCAAUUAAUCUCUGCAAAGUAUUUCUGCCUACAAGAUUUGAUAGGAUUCUACAUAUGAUUUUUAUUUUGUUUUGAAAAAAUGGAUCGGAUCCUUCACAUGAACAUGAUAAUGAAAUUCAAGAUACCGUGAAAGAAUUCUUAUUCCCUCUACUUUACAUAUUAAAAUGGUAGGAUUCAUAUUAUAAAGUUAAUAUACAUGCCAUAUAAUUAUCCAAUAUGCAUAUAUUCAAAACAUUCAGUUUAGGAACUCUUGCUGAAGAUGAGUUCACUUACAUCAUCACUUAAAUUCAAUAGGGGAAGAUCAAUCAAUUAUUGUUGAACUGCUUUGCAUAAAAAAUUACUUAAAUUUGAUUUUAUUUAAGCAACACCUCCUUGAUCAAUUUGUCCAAGUUCAUAUAUGAACAACCUCCAGGUCUCGUGUUCUCCUCUGCCUUCUUCUUCAACUCGAUUGCCUUUUUCCUCAUCUUCUUUCCUUUCUCUCCCACCAUCAAUUCAUUGAUAAGUUUCUCCACCUCCUCUCUCUUUACAUUCGUAUCAAUUUCCAUCCCAAUCUCCCAUUCAUUGUAAAUAAGUCUACAGUUUGUUGGCUGAUCACUAAAGAAUGGCCAACACAACAUUGGAAUUCCAGCACAUAUACUUUCAGUGGUUGAGUUCCAUCCACAAUGAGUCAAGAAUCCACCAAUUGAAGGGUGGUUUAAUACUUGCUCUUGAGGACACCAGCUCGCGAUUACGCCUCUAUCUGAAAUUUCAUUCACAAACUCCGAUGACAAAACAAUUGUGCCACCAAUGACAAGAUCAGGCCUAAUGAUCCACAAAAAAGGUUUAUUGCAAUUGGCCAAACCCCAAGCAAACUCUAACAUUUUCUCUUCAUUCAUAACUGUAAGGCUGCCGAAAUUCACAUAAACAACGGAACCCGAUUCCUUCGAUUCAAGCCAUUUAAGACACUCAGUAUCUUCUUUCCAUAUGUUGGAACCAAAAGAAUCCAAUUGAUGGAUUUGUGGAGUUUGGUUUAAUAAUGAAGGUAAAGGGCCAAUGGGGUAAAGAGAAGGAAACAUAGAGGAGAGAGCAUUUAUUACAUCACUCUCAAGUUCAUUGAAAGUAUUCAAAAUAAUAGUAGAGUUUUUAUGAUCUUUAUCAGCCACAUCAAUUACAAAGUUUAACAUAAUAUCAUUUGGAUCUGUUGUCCUGAUAUAGUCAGCAAUGUCCUUCAACCGAAAGUUUUUCAAACCUGGAAUCCAAUCUACUUUAGUUUCCAAAUAUCCAUUUGUUAGAUAACUCUCAUCUGCAUAUCAAAAGUAGCAAAGUUAAUAGCUUGAAGGAGGGCCGUAUCUGAGGCAGGGCGAGGAGGACGACCGUCCCAAGGUCCCAAAAAAUAAGUUUAAAAUUUGGGUCAAAAAUAUAAAACUAGGGGUUCAUUGGGUAAAAAACAUAUUAGGAUAUGCUAAAAUCAUAUACAUUUUAACUUAAAAAGGACAUAUCAGGAAUUGAUGUACAUUUCCUAACAUAAUAAAAACUAUCAUCUUCAAGAAAAUUAUUUUUACACUUUAGGAAUUCAAUUUUUUUUUUGUACUUAUUAGUUAGGGCCCAAACUGUAGGUUCAUCCGUAGGCCACCUGAAUCUCAGAAACGGCCAUUUGAAAGUCAUACAUACAUACACACGUGUAUAUUUUGUUUUCGACAGAAACAUGCAUGUAUAAGGUAUUAUAAAUUGAAUAAAAGUCAUUUAUUGAAGUAUAAAUUUUAGUUUUGAAGUUUUAUCGAUCAAAUUUGUGGAGGUCAUCUAUUCAAUAAGAUUUUUUAAUUUGAGUGUUGCUUUAUUGAAAUUUAGUGUCGACAUUGAGCUAUAUAUUAACUGAAACUAUAUCGAGAGUUACUCUUGGAGUAAGUUGAUUAUCUCGCACACGAAGAUAUAUAUAAAUUUAAUUCAUAUAUAUAGUUAAUGUAAAGAUUUUUUACACUGUCAAUAAAUCAUGAUAUAUUGUAAGAUAAUAGAAAAUAUGAACUUUAAUCUUAACUACUUCUAAAGUAAAUCAUAUGAUUGGUUGUGAUUUGCUGACACCGUAAAACUUUUUACACUAAUAGUAUAUCAAAGUAAAUAUUAAUCACAAUAUAUAUAUAUAUAUAUAUAUAUAUAUAUAUAUAUAUAUAUAUAUAUAUAUAUAUAUACUUUGUGAAUAAAAAACUCAACUUAGUACCUUUGAGUGGCGUGAGACCUUUUUCUACAAAGGAACGUAAGUGAUGAAUACUCAACAAAAAACAUGCACUGGCUGGAAAAAGGAUAACAUUUGGGAUUGCGAAUUCUACAGCAGCCUGUAUAGUAAAGCUCAUAAAAUAAUCAGAAACUAAGCAAGUAACUGGUGGAACAUUGGUAGAGUCAUUAAGUCUUGUAAGAAGUUCACAAAAGGGUUUAAGGAAAUUCUUUCUUAUAGAUUGAGCAAGAGAGGGUAUGUCUUGACUAACAUCACCAUCACCUUCCAUUGGUGUUAGACCAUCUGGUAUGGUUUCAAAGCUAAAACCAGGGAAACCAUCUAAGGCAUUUGGACCUCUUGAUUUGAGCAAACGUUUAUGAUUGUAUUCAGUGUUGACAAAGGUUAUGUGAAAUCCUCUAAGGUGAAGAAGUUUUGCAAGUUUGAACAAUGGAUUUAUAUGUCCUUGAAGUGGAGCUGGAAUCAACACAGCAUGUGGUUUUCUGUUUGCAAAGUUUCCCAUCUUUGAUAAUUCUCUAUUGAAUGUUAUUGUUAUGUGUGCAAGAUACGAGGUUGAGAAACAAGUGAUAAACAUGGGCUUUAAUAGAGAAAAAAAAAAGGAAAUUGCUAUAAAAUUGAAAAAUAUAAAGAAAUCCAAACAGUUAAAAUCUGGAAGGUUAACUUAAAAUCGGGAUUUUGCUUCAGAUCGAAAGGUAAGAGCAAAAUCGCAAUCAAAAUCUACGAAAGUUAACUUAAAAUCAGGAUCUGAAAGAAAUUGUGCCACGGCCGGAGGAAUUGUGCCACGAUUGUGAAGGAAAUUUCUGGAGCAGGUCUCUGGAAAAAACAUGUCAUGAUGGAGCCACAAAGUGGCACGAUGGAGCGUUGAAGGAGAAAAAUAAAACCAUAACUUUCAGCGUAAUAUUUGUUCCUAAUUUUAAGGGUUAUAGAAGGGAGGGAGGGAGGGAGUGUGUGAGAGAGAGAGGCAACAACAAAACUAGGGUUUGUAGAGUUUUCACUUGGCAACAAACACUAGGGUUCAAAUAUUAAUUUGGUUUUCAUAACAAUGCUAUGAAACACAGGCAUAGAAAAAGACAUAAAAAAUAACACUGACACGUUGAUACUAAUAAUAAUAAAAAAAAUUAAUUAAUUGAAUGUAAUUACAACGUAAUUGAAUGUAAUUACAACGUUUGACAUAGACACAUGUUAGAUACCAUUCACAUCUUCGGUGAGGGUCGUCGGUGGCACACAGUUACAAUUUUUUCUUAUAUACACAAAUAUAAAUAUCAAUAAGUUGUAGUUAUGUUACUUCUUCUACUUCCUGUCCUCGUCAAUUCAUCUCCCUAUAUGACUCAUUAUAAUGGUUGAAUGUGUUUGUUGGUUGUUGGUUAAUUAACCAAUCAAUAUGGCAUUAAAUUUUAUGUUGUGUGUACUUGUGUCCAUUUGGUAACCAAGAAAAGGAAAGUUGAUAGAGUCCACAAAAGGGAAAUAUUUAUGCAUGAUUAUGGAGAUGGACCACCACCAUAAGCCGCAGUUCCCUUACGUCCACAUGCAAAUUGUAAACGUUUUUACAUACAUAUAUAUUAGUAAAAAAAAGAAGGUAGAGUAAAACUUGAAAUUGGUACAUGAAUUGUAAUUUGUAACAGUGUGUAACUUACUAUAAAGAAAUUUCAAGUUAGUAUCCCAAAUUGAGGAAUGCUAGAAACACUCUCUCUAGCACUCACUCUUUUAUUGAGUGAAAUCAAUGUAUGUCUCACCACUUUUUAUGGGUUCCAUUUUCAAAGUGUAAGUCCUACAUUAAUUUCACCAAAGAAAAGAGUGAGUGCUAAAGAGUUCUCAAAAGAGAGUGUUGCUAGCAUUUCUCAUCCCAAAUUUGUUCACAUAAUUAUCCCUUCAAAACAAUGUAAAAUAGUUAGGUACUAGAAUGCGACCAUAUUUGUUGUUUCAAUCAAAUUCAUUGUCAGUAUCAAACCGUAAGAAAACGUAUAGUAAUAAAUAAGCUCCUUUAAUUUGACAGAAAAUGCACAAUAAGUAGGGUAAGCAAAGGAGCUCCUUUCAAGGACGUAUUCGGGGAAUAUCAGGUUCGAUUUUCAGGGGGAACAACGUUUGGCCAAUGUACAUGAGCCGGAUUAGUCGUCCACCAUUAGUGGGUUGGAAACCAGUGCGAAGGCAAAAAAAAAAAAGUUAAAGCAACCAUGACCCCUUAAUUUGAUAGCAGGCGCUAAAAAUCAUUUUAUUAAUCAGGUAAUGCAAUUGUGAAAAAACUCCCAUUAUUUUUUUUUAAGAAGCCAAAAUUGAAUUAUAUUAACAAUAAAAGAGCAAUCCCCAAAGCACAAGAUGUGCCUUUGAGACUACGGCAAAGAACCAAGUUUUAUAUCAUAGUACACAAAUACAGCUCAAACAACAUUAGCCAAUACCCAAACAAACAAGAGGGUUUGACCACCGCUGUUGAGAGCCAAAAACAAAACAAGCUUUUUUUUAAGUUUUAUACAUAUGGUAUUUAGAUAAAGAGAGAGAUAAGACCACAUAAGCUUUAUAUUAAAGAAGGGUUGUGUUGUAUUUACCAUGGUUGUUAAAAUUGGGAUUUUGUUUUCGGUUGAAAGGGAGUAGCAAAAUAAAAAAUUGUAAAAUUGCAAUCAAAAUUGAAGGAUUCUACUCAAUUACUUUUCUAGAAUUGAUAUAGGAUAGCGAAACACGAAAAUCGUAAAAUCGCAAUAAAAAUCGGUGGAUUCUACCAAAACAGCAAAAAUAAUGCUAAAUACAUGUUAUUAAUUGCAUAUAUUUUGGAUCCACAAAAUACUUAUACAUAAAUGACUCACACCUAGAUGCCAAAUAUCUUUUAGUAGUGAUAAUAAUGCUACACAACUUAGACAAAAUACUUAAAGUAAAUCCUAGAUGCCAGACAAAAUAAUUGAUCAUAAAUGAGUAAAUGACUAUUAAGUUUUAAGGAAUAGCCGAUAUGGCUACCAAAAUACACAAUCGAAAGCCUAGAUGCAAUCAUAAAUCAAUUGACAGACCAGGUCACCCAUAUAAAAAAAAAGGCUAGAAUCCUUCAAAAUUAUGUAAAAUCCAACGAUUUUGCAUGAAUUUCACGAUUAUGUGUGGUUUUACUAGGAUUUUGCCUAUUUUUAAAUUCUGCAAUGAAUUUGAAUCGUUAAAGAUGAAUAAAGUCACAAAAUCCUAAAUUUAGGAUUUAAAUUGUGAUUUUGACAACAAAGGUAUAUACACCAGAAUUGAAACAUUUAUAUUCAAAUGUAUUGUAAACUUGUAGUUAUGGAACCUUAACUACUCUUUUUUUUUUCCAUGUAAGCUUGUAACAGUGCAACAGGGAAAUAUUAUAUAGGAUAAAGUGCACUUUUCGCCCCCUAUGUUUCAAAAUGUUGCGAUUUUGGUCCCCUAUUAAAAAAAAUGACAAUUUUGGCCCCCUUCAACCCAAAAUUACUGAAAAGACGCCACAUGUCCCAAAAAAGGGGCCAUAAUUGCAACUUUUUGUAAAGAUAAGGGGUCAAAAAACAUAUUUCCCUUAUGUUAGGAGGUCAAAAGAGCAUAUUUCCCUAAACAUAGGGGGUCAUUUUUGCCAUUUUUUAUAAUAGGGGGCCAAAAUUGCAACAUUUUGAAACUUAGAGGGCGAAAAGUGAAGUUUAGCCUAUUAUAUAUACAGUUUAACAUUGUGAAAUUGGAAUUAUGUAAAGUUAUUUUAGGGACACUAUAUAUGGAUUAAUCUAAUUGCAUAGUUUUAAUUCAAACACUAAUGGGAACAACCGUGAGUGCUCACGAGUAUUUAAAUGCAUUCAAAUCAGUCUCUUCAAAAGAUCUAAAGAAGCAUUCAAGCAUAUAAAUAUAAUAUUAAUGAGAUUUUGAAGUAUUGGCUUACUUUGAUCCAUAUGGAUUCAAUCAAAAACAACCAAAGGCCAAAAUAGAGGUAUGUAAUGUAAUCUUUAAAUGUGAACUUAUGAAUAAUGGACUUGAGGAAGCUGCAUGCAUGCAUCAUUGCAAUGUUCCUGACUAAAAUGUUGAUGCUCACACUUUAGAAUAUAGGUUAACAAAAAGUAAAAAUUAUUUGAUCCUAAUAAAACUAUAAAUAUUUUAUUAAAGUUAAUUAAGUUUGAUUCUGUUUAAGAAACACCUCCUUAAUCACUUUCUCUAAGUUCAUGUAUGAACAACCUCCAAGUCUCGUUUCCUCCUCCGCCUUCAUCUUCAAAUCAAUUGUCUUUUGCCUCAUUUUCUUUCCUUUAUCUCCCGACAUCAAUUCGUUGACCAGCUUCUCCACCUCCUCUCUCUUCACAUUAGUUUCAAUUUUGAUUCCAAUCUCCCAUUCAUUGCAAAUAUAUCUGCAGUUGGCUUGCUGAUCCGCGAAAAAGGGACAACACAACAUUGGCACUCCGGCACAUAUACUUUCAGUGGUUGAGUUCCAUCCGCAAUGAGUUAAGAAUCCACCAAUUGAAGGAUGGUUUAAUACUUGCUCUUGCAGACACCAGCUUGCAACUAAGCCUCUAUCUGAAAUUUCAUUCACAAACUCCGAUGACAAAACAACCGAGCCACCAAUGACAAGAUCAGGCCUAAUGAUCCACAAAAAGGGUUUCUUGCUAUUGGCCAAACCCCAAGCAAAGUCUAACAACUUUUCUGCAGUCAUCACCGUUAUGCUCCCAAAAUUCACAUAAACAACAGACCUUGGUUCAUUGGAUUCAAGCCAGUCAAGACACUUGGUAUCUUCUUUCCAAAGAUUGGUACCUAAAGAUGCCAAAUGCUUUUGUUGACUUUGAUUUAAAAACGAAGAUAAAGGGCCAAUGGCAUAAAUACAAGGGAACAUACUGGAGAGAACAUUCAAUACAUCAUUCUCAAGUUCAUUACAAGUGUUAAGAAUUAUAGCAGAGGCACGGUAGCCCUAUUCAUCGCUUCAUUGAUAAAUUCUACUAUAGAAUAAUUUGGAUCUGUUAUCCCUAUAAAAUCAGGAAGAUCUUUCAGUCGAAAGUUUUGCAGUCCAGGAAUACAAUCUACUUUAGUUUCCAAAUAUCCGUUUGUCAGACGACUAUCAUCUGUAUAUAUCAAAUUACAAAACUUGUUAGCUUGAAAUUGAAUUAACAUAUAUACUUCAUAUGAACAAUUUAACUAAACUACACCUAAGCAGAAAGAAAUAAGAUUAAUUAGUUAUAUUACCUUUUAGUGGUAUGAGACAUUUUUCAAACAAUGUCGGUAAGUGUAAACAAGUCAAGAAUGUACAUGCAUUGGAUGGACUAAAGAGAACAAUAGGAAGUGAAAGUUCUUCAGCAACUUGUAUAGUAAAGGACAUGUUCCAAUCAUAACUAAGCAAGUAACUGGAGGGAUAAGACCAGCAGUAGAAGACUCAUAGAGUCUAGCAAGAAGUUCGCGAAAUGGUUGGAGGAAGUUAUUUCUGAUUGAUUUACAGAGAGAAUUUAUGUCCUGUGUAACAUCACCAUCACCAUCUAUUGGAGUUAAACCAUCUGGAAUAGUCUCGAAGGAAAAAUCAGUGAAACCAUUACGAGAAUUAGGACCUCUUGAUUUGAGCAAGCGUUUGUGAUUGUACUCGGUGUUCACGAAGGUUAUGUAAAAUCCUCUAAGGUGAAGAAUCUUUGCUAGUUUGAUUAAUAGAUUGAUAUUUCCUUGAAUUGGUAAUGGAAUCAAUACUGCAUGUAGUUUUUUACCACUCAUUUGUGAGUUUGUGUUUGAAUGUUGAGUGUGUAUGAUAUGAAGUAUAGAGAAAAUGAGAAAGGGGUAUGUCAGUGGUUUAAUAAUUGAGAUAAAAGCCAAUGUCCCUUAGAUUUGUGGAAUGGAAAAUAGAGAAAAUAAAAAUGGAAAAGAAACAGAAAUUCAGAGUCUAAGAUAUGUUUAUUUUAAAAUGGAAUGAUUCCAAGUAAUACAAUUUGAGCCUUAUCCUCAUUGUGACAAAGAUUGAUCUUGAAUCCUCUCAAUAAUCGAUGCAUACUAGUCUAGUCAAAACUUUUUGCUAUGCCAGAAAUUAAUUUGAAUUAUUCACAAUUAUGUUUAGAAUCUGCAGACAGCAAAUGUAGUCAAGUUCUAACUCUAUCCUUUAGUGAAAAAGAAAAAGUCCAAGUCUUGUAACAUCAUUUGUAACACCAUUCAUUUUUAAGGUGUCACUGUAUUUUGAGAAAAAUAGUUAAGUGAAGAUUGCGAUCAUUCUUAAGGAAACCAAAAAAUUGGUUUUGGUUCAAAAUUGUUCGCCUCCACUGUUGGUCGUGCAAUGCUUUAAUGUGGUUUUGUAGCGGUGGGAGUGACACAAUCUUUUAAAGUACGAUUUUCAGCCAUUUUAGACUUGUGAUCACUCUCUUCUUCGUUGAUGGAGAAAUCUCUCUUUCUCGAGUAUUGGUGGAACAAUUUUCCCGAGAAUUCAAGUUCUUCACGUCCAAACAAGAAAACAAGCAAAAACAGAAAAUAUUAUUGUGGCACGAUUUUGACAAUAAAGAAACUUGGAAAUUUUGUAUCAUACCAAAAAAUCUCAAAACUAUAUCUUACAAGAAUACUUGCACAGCAUUCCAACCGUUCAUUAGAAGAUAUUAUCAAAAAUAUAUAUGAUUGUGGAUCAUCUUCAUAAAUUUCAGUUUACUACUUGAACUGCAAUUAUAAUAUAUUUCUUACAUCAAAGAUUCUAGUUGUACAGAAGAAAACAUGUGCAAAUUGAUGAAGCAACAAUGACCACUCAUUCUUUUUAUCAUAGUAUUGUCUAUUAUUUACCCAUCUCUGAAUCUGGCAAAUUUUGGACUUAUGAUAAAGAACAGAAAAAUUUGUCUUUCAACAAGGACUGGAGAUUCUCCCUAAAGUCACAAUUGUAUAAAAUCCAAAUUUACCAAUCAAGAGGGAUGGAUGUGUCCCUAUUAUCAAGAUAGCCUUCCAUUCUCUUCACUUGUAUAUGCUUUCACGUCAUUCGGGGUGUAUUUUAUGUCCUUUUAUAGUGUGUGUAUUUUAAUCCUUUGUUAUGCAUAUGAGGUAUCAACUAUGGUUUUAGUCCUUCCAAAUAUUUGGUUCCAGAUGUUUUGUUUUGGUCCCUAUAAAAUCUAUUCAUAUUUAAAUUGAUACCUAAUAUUCAUUUUAGUCUUUAUUUUGAGGGACUAAAAUCAAAUAUUCUACAUAUUACAAGGACCAUAUCCAAUAUGAAUCAAUUUUGUAAUGAUAAAAAACCAAGGACCAAAAACAAAAAGUAAGAUAUUUGGAAGGACUAAAACCGAAAACAUUUUUUUACAAGGAUUAAAACCAAAAUGCUUACAUUUGCAAGAACUAUUUGCAUAUUAAAAUCUUGGGUCAUGCUAACUGGUGCCCCGGACACUUGUGAAGGAAGCCAAAAGAAGAAAUUUGAAAUCAAAAAAGAUACUUUUUAAAUUUUUAAUGCAUUGAUUACACAACUUUCAAUGUAAAAUAUUACUAUAUUUUAUUUUUUAACCAGUGCCCUGGAGACACUGGUUAGUUUGUGAUCAAUCUGUAUCACAUGCAUGGGAGUUGGUUAAGCUAUAGUAACUGUGAAAGGAAACUUAUUCCAAACUUCAAUUAAUAAAGUUUCUUUCUAAUCAGCCCUAGGAAAAAUAUUUGAAGCUUCACAUAAUAUUAAUCCCAAAUUCAAUAUUGGAAUAGUACAUAGUAAAAAAUACAUUGCAUCAAAGCAUAGUAAUAGCUUAAUAAUUUAAUUAGAAACAACCUCCAGGUCGAUAAAGUAAUAGAAUACUGCAUUGUAUAAAACAAUAUCAUUAUAUAUCUAAUUUUGUUUAAGCAACACCUCCUUAAUAACUUUGUCCAGGUUCUUGUAUGAACAACCACCUAGUCUAGUGCUCUCCUUUGCCAUCUUCUUCAACUCCAUGGCCUUUUGCCUCAUCUUCUUGCCUUUAUCUCCGGCUAUCACUUCAUUGAUCAGCUUCGCCAACUCCUCUCUCUUCACAUUUGUAUCGAUUUCCAUACCAAUCUCCCAUUCAUUACAAAUAAAUCUACAGUUUGUUGGCUGAUCGGCAAAAAAAGGCCAACACAACAUCGGCACUCCAGCACAUAUGCUUUCAGUGGUUGAGUUCCAUCCACAAUGAGUCAAGAAUCCGCCGAUCGAAGGGUGGUUCAACACUUUCUCUUGUGGACACCAACUUGCUAUUAGGCCUCUAUCUGAAAUUUCAUUUGUAAACUCAGAUGACAAAAUCACUGAGCCACCAAUGACAAGAUCAGGCCUAAUGAUCCACAAAAAUGGUUUAUGGCAAUUGGCCAAACCCCAAGCGAAUUCUAAUAAUUGAUGGGGUGUCAUAACUGUAAUGCUGCCAAAAUUCACAUAAACAACGGAUCCCGGCUCCUUGGAUUCAAGCCAUUCAAGACACUCAGUAUCUUCUUUCCAGAGGUUGGAACCUAAACAGUCCAAUUGAUGAAUUUGUGGAGUUUGAUUUAAUAAUGAAUGCAAAGGUCCGAUAGUAUAUAAAGAAGGGAACAUAGAAUAUAGUGCAUUCAUUACAUCACUCUCAAGUUCAUUGUAAGUAUUCAAAAGAAUAGUAGAGUCUCUAUUAAAUCUAUCUGCAAUUUCAAAAAAGAAUUCUACCAUAAUAUCAUUUGGAUCUGUUGUCCUGAUAUAGUCAAGAAUGUCCUUCAACCGAAAGUUUUUCAAACCUGGAAUCCAAUCUACUUUUGUUUCCAAACAUCCAUUUGUUAGAUAACUAUCAUCUGCAUAUCAUAAGCACAGAAGUUAAUAUCUUGAAGAUUCAUACACACACAUAUUUAUAAAGUUACUAUACAUUCAAUGAAAGUUAUUUGUAGUAUAACAAAUUUUAGUUUUGAAGUUUUAUAGAAAUUUGUGCAGGUCAUCUUCUCAAUGACAAUGAGAGCUUUUAAUUUGAGGUUUGGAUUGUUAUUAACUUUAUUAAUUAAUUUAUGAGUUAGCUCUCUGGUAAGAGUUUGAUUCAGUAAUCUCAAUGUGCAGAGAGUUCAAAUCCUUUAGGGAUCAUAUAUAUAUAUAUAUAUAUAUUCAAGAAGCUGAACUAACCCAUCAAAAUUGACACUAGGGAGAAUUGAACCUGAGACCUUAGAACGCUCCAAGGUUUCAAGCCAACUAAUAUAUAUAUAUAUAUAAUGUGCAUUUACAAAAUACUAUUAACUAUGAAGAAAACAAACUUAGUACCUUUGAAUGGUAUGAUGCCUCUUUCUACAAAGGAACGAAGAUACAUAACAAUCAAUAAAGAACAUGCACUUGAUGAAAAAUAGAGAACAUUUGGAAGUGCAAAUUCUUCAGCAGCUUGUAUAGUAAAGCUCAUACAAGAAUCAGAAACUAAGCAAGUAACUGGUGGAACAUUGGUAGAGUGAUUAAGUCUUGUAAGAAGUUCACAAAAGGGUUUAAGGAAAUUCUUUCUUAUAGAUUGAGAAAUAGAAGGUACAUCUUGACUAACAUUAUCAUCACCUUCCAUCGGUGUUAGUCCAUCUGGGAUUGUUUCAAAGCUAAAAUCAGUGAAGCCGUCUAAGGCAUUAGGACCUCUUGAUUUGAGCAAACGUUUGUGAUUGUAUUCGGUGUUGACAAAGGUUAUGUGAAAUCCUCUAAGGUGAAAUAGUUUUGCUAGUUUCAACAUUGGAUUGAUAUGGCCUUGAAGUGGAUAUGGAAUCAACACAGCAUGUUGUUUUCUGUUUGCAAAGUUUCCCAUUUUAGUUAAUUUUCUAUUUGGAUAUUAUGUGUGCAAAAUAUGAGGUUGAAGAACAAGUGAUAAUAAGCAUGUGCAUUAAUAGAGAGAAUAAAUGACAAUGCUACAAAAUUGGAAAAUACAAAGAAAUCCAAAGAGAUAAAAUCUGGGAGGUUGAGAUUCUAACAAAGUGAAAUAAGUUCAUCCAACUCAAUUUUUAAUUUGGCUAUCACAACAAUGAUGUGAAGCAUGGACAUACAUACAAGGACAAGAAUACAACAUUCACACGUCCAUACCGGUAAUAAUUAAGAUGAAAACAUGAUUAAUUGACUGUACUUACCUGUGUUGGUGUCAAACGUACAACAACACAUGUCCAACAUCAAAUACAUCUCUUAUCAAAAGUGUCGCUGCUACAUCGUUUGUAUUUUCAUAGGCAAAUGUUACUAUGUUGGUAGUACAUUUAGUUCUUAGAUUUAAAAUUUGGAACCUUUACUUUACUCAUCAAUCGACCUACCGGUUAAUACUCAUCAUAACGGUGUUGAAUUGUUGCUCUUUGGUUUCUCCAAUCAAUAUGGCAUUGAAUUUUCAGGUCUGCCCAUAUGCUAAAUUACCAAAACAAGAAAUAUAUCUAACAAAAGUAUGCAGUUGUCUUGUAGAGUACAGUUAAUAUGUCAUAAAUCACAUUUCGGUCUUUCAUGAAUUUGAAGGUUAAAAUAAGUUAUUAUACAUUUUUUGGAGGUUAGAAAUAAGUUAGUAAAAUUUGAAGGUAGAGUAAAACUUCAAAUUGGUACAUGAAUUUGUAAGUGUGUGUCAACUUACAUUAUAUAAAUUUCAUGUUAGUCUCCCAAAUUUGAUUAGAUUAGUCCCUUCAAGAUUAUGUCAAUUCGGUCUUUUCCUUUAUCAAUAUUUUAAAAUAGUCCAAUGGCCAUCCCUCCUAAGAUCAAGGGUUAUGCGAUCAAAUUGUCCCAUAUAUAUAGAUUUUUCUAUUUGGUCAGGUAUCAAGCAGAAAGAUCACAUCAUCAAAGAUAUUUGUCAAUGAUUACUUGGGAAAGGGGAUAAGAUUAAUUUGUAAAAUGCUCACUGGCUUAACUUUUCAAUUGUCGAUCAGCUUGAUAUUCCAGAGAACAAGCAUCAUUUACUUCAAGGCAUUGUGAAGGACUUCAUCAGAAAUAAGAAAUGGUAUCUUCCUCAAUCAAUUCUUUUGAAUCAUCCCUAAUUUUAGGACGGGUGACAAUCGAGUUUGGGAGCACACAAAUAAUGGGUAACUUUGUUUUCGUGAAUCUUAUUUUUUUCAAAAACCUCCCCUUAGUGAGGCAUAUUGAGCUAAUUAAGCCUUAUAUAUGAAGUCGAUCCAUCCGACCGGACAAAUAUCUUCUUGUUUGGAGGCUUUUUACAAAGAAAUUCCUACCGAUGAGAAUCUGUGUGCUAGAGGUUGCAAUGUUGUUUCUUAGAGUAACUUGUGUGACAAGGCAAUGAAAACUAGCCAACAUUUUGUCUGGGAUUAUACAUUUAUGAAAAAUUGUUAGGGCUGGCUUGCUUCUACUCAUAAUAUUUCUAUUGACACCAACUGCUUCUGGUGGUAUUUUUAGAGAUAGUAAUAUGUCCUUUGUAGCGUGUUUUUUUCAAAAUUUAAACAUAUCUACUACUUUUCAUGCAGAGGUCAUUGGGGCUAUGCAUUGCAAUAGAGAUAGAUUUAAAAAAAAAAGGGUUUGACCUCUCUUUGGUUGGAAAAAGACUCUCAAUUGGUUACUAUGGAUUUCAAGAAUCCUAGUCAAAAACAAGUGGUUUAUCUGUGUUGAAUUAACUAAAAAUAUGUGAUUCAUUAUUUCUCAUAUCUUCAUAAAAGACAAUUGUUGUGCACAAAAAAAUUGCUUAUUUGGGCUUGAACAUAAUAGUUUGGGUUAAAUAUGUUUUUGGUCCCUAUAAAUAUAUCAACUUUUCGUUUUAGUCCCUCUAAAAUUUUCCUUCAACUUUUAGUCCCUAUAAAAUUUUGAAUCACUACUUUUGGUCCCUAUUUUAAAUUAAAUUUUUGUAUUUUUUAAUGAAAUUGUACAGAAAUGUGUAGAAUAUUGUAAAAACAUUUCCCAAAAAAAAUUAGAACUUUUCAAGUAAACAUAAAUUAAAUAUGAAUUUUUAACCAUAAAAAAUAUAAAAAUCAUAUUAAAUUCAUGUUUAUUAAAAAAUUCUAAUUUUUUUUGGGAGAGAUUCUGAUAAUAUUAUAAAUUUUUCUGGAAAAUUUGAUUCAAAAAUAUGAAUUCUACAUAUGAGUUUAUUUUAAAAGAGGGACCAAAAGUGAAGAUGGAAAAUUUUGUAGGGACUAAAAGUUGAAGGAAAAUUUUAGAGGGACUAAAACGAAAAGUUUGUAUAUUUAUAGGGACCAAAAACAUAUUUAACCCUAAUAGUUUUACUAGAAUUUGACCCGGGCAACGCACGGAAUCCUUGCCUGCAUUUUUUUUUUCAAGUGGGGCACAUGCAUUUACGACUUUGGUAAAAUUUGGCGAAACAGCCCACUCGUGACUACUGGAAAAGGUGUGCAUUAUUUGAUUUGAUUCAAUGCCAACUUGAAGAGUCCAUGCCCGUGACAUUAUUGUAUAUAUUUCCCAUUCUUUUCUAUGUCACGUUUAGUGGUAGAAUUAUCACUAUUUUUAGUGAAAUUUUCACGUGUAUAAUCUUCAUGCAUGGGUAUCUCCGACUUGACAUAUGUACAUUCACAUUAGUAGCUAUAGAGAACAAAAGUAGAGAAAUUACAAGUUGUGAAAAAACAAAAUUCUAGCCAAUACUAGGGAAAAAGUUUUGCCUCUUAUGGGUAAAUCAAGGUUUAGACUAGAUAAGGGUAGACGAAUAUUUUCAUACAUAGUUGUAGUACAUGAAAGAACCACUUACAUGACGCAACCCAAGACCAAUUUGAAUAUAGUAUUGCACACUUUAUAUUAUUAAUGGGAAAUAUUUAAAACAAUAAAAAAAAUGUAAAGCUAGUUUUUUUUUUUAAUAUAAGGUAAAGAUAUAGGCUGAGUUGCCCCUUUGUGACUAUUAAAGACUUGACUUCAUAGAGAGGCUAGUAAAUUGUAAUAUCAUUUUUCAAGCUCAUCGUUGUUAGAUAAUACUUCAUUGCAUGUUUUGCAUGACUGUCCAUUGGCAACGGUGAUUUGGAUGUAUAUGUUUGACAUCGAGAUUAGGAACGUUUUCUUUCCUUGUUCUUGGACUCAGUUGCUUAGGCUCAAUAUAGAGAACGAAUAUUUCACAUCGAGAUUAGGAUCGUUGUCUUUCCAUGUAAUUAGGCGGAGGGGGACAAGAGACCAGGUGGUUUUUCAUACAUGAACUUGGAAAAAGUGAUUAAGAAGGUUUUGCUUAAACAAAAUCAAACCUAAGUGACUUUUUUUAUGCAAUGUAUUAUUAUGUUGAUCCAUUGAUCUUUUCCUAUUGAAUUUAAGGGAUGAUGUUAAUGUAGUGUAUAGCAAGUAUAUUGAUACUAAUACGAUCGAGUUCAUUAUGAUAGAAGUGAACAUAUCUUGUGCAAGAAUUCUUAAACUAAAAUAGUGGUUCUUGCUAAUAUUAAAUGGAUUGAAUUCGACAAUUAUAUAUGGCAUGUAUUUAAAUAUUUAUUAGUUGAAUUUUACAGCUUUGAAUAAAACUAAUAGUUAUAUUAACACAACUUUUUUUUCCUGGAAUUCACUUGAUCAAUAACUGAAGUACAAAUUUUAAGUUUUUCUCUAUUUUCUAUCUAAAUGUAAUAGAAUAAAUCAUUUAAAACUAAGAUAAGGAAGUAUUUUCACUAGAAACCUUUGCAUAUAUGGCUCUUUUAUGUCAGUUCUAUAUAUAUAUAUAUAUAUAUAUAUAUUUUCUAGCACCGUAAAAAAAUGUCCUCAAUAUUGAGCACAUCCAUGAUCAUAUAUAGGUUGAGAUCCUUUAAGAGAAAUUAGAUUGUUUGUGAUCACAAUUUUAUCAACUCGUACAGUUAGCAACAAUUUGGAGUUGUUCGAUUAAGAUUGAACGACUCUAAUUCUAUGUUUGAUUUUAAAAUGGAUUCACAAAUAUAGCUUAAAAUAAGAGUCGGCCAAUAUUUGAUCAAAUUGCUCCGAGCUACCGAUUGAAUUAACCGUGAACGCGUGGAAAUUGGGCUUGCAUACAAUUCACAUGUAUGGUCCAAUAGAAAACUGAAAAUAAUAUCAACAUGAAAAAUAUGUAAUUUUGCAACUAAGAACAAUUGUGAACAUUUAAUAAAAAAAAGUGUAAACAAAAUCAAUUCACAAAUGUUUUUUUUUUCUUUUUUUUUUUACAAUCUCAAACUUAAUUUAAUAAAUCUAAAUUAGAUAUAGUGGUCAAAUUUAAGCUAAUAGACUAAUCAAACGAAAGGAAAUUCACAAGUGCCGACAAAUUGUUGUGGAAAAUGAAAAUACACAGAACCACAAGAAUAUUCAUGCAUAGUGCAAACAAAUUCUUGAUGAAAAAUUGUGUACGUAACUUUUAUAUUCCAAUUAUUUGCAUGUUGCUCUACAAACCCUAAAUACCACAUAAAUACGUAGAUACCAGAAACUUUUGAAAAUUAGGAUGAGACCAACAAAAGCCACACAAAAAGUAAUAAAUUAAAUACAUAAUUUAACAUACUUUUGAAAUGGGUAUUAGGGUAAAAGUAUCCUAAGAAUAUUGGUGUUUAAUAUUAGGGAUGUAAAGUGAGCCGACCAGUCCCGUUAAGGUUGUCCCAUCUAGGCCCACUUAAAAUGGAACAAGGUGAACCUAGUCGAAUUAGAUGGUCGAGUUCAAAAUUUCUCCUCAUCCUGUUUAAUGACGGACUGACGAGUUGGCGGGUAGAUCCGUCAAACAAAAACACUUUUUUUAAUGUAUUAUUUUACAACUUAUUUGUUAAAAAAAAAUGUUGCUUUUAUCAUAAAAAUAUAAAAAGAAUAGGCAUCAAAUAAAUUGUUGGGAAAAACAAGAUAAUUAACAAAAUCCUGAAUUCAACAUCAUAAUUAAUAACAUAAUAAGGUAAAUCAACCAAAUUAAAAUAAAUCUACAACAUAAAAUAAAUCCAAGAAUAAAUAAUUGUUAUUAUUCAUUAUAGUUAACUGCCUACAAUAAAACAAGAAGGUAAUUGACAUUGACCUUUCUUUUAGAAAUAUUUCUAUACAAGAUAAUGAUCAAGGGAAUAAUAAUAAAUCAAUAAAACAACUCGAGAAGCCACCGAUACAUGGAGAGAUACAUUGUGAUUUAUGAGUUACGGAUGAGGAAAAAUAGAGGCAAGUAUUGUAUCAAACAAAAUGCUACUAUGUUUUGUCCUAUACAAUUAUGCAACUCAAAUAAUAAUUGAUUAUUGCAUACCUGAAAUAGUAAAAAAUUGAAAACAAGUUAAGUGGGUUGGCCUGGCCCGCUUUGUGCCCACCUCGGUUUUUUUAAUGAGUUAGGCGAGGCAAACCAACUAUAAGAAACGAGUUCAAAACUUCAAUUCAGUCCGUUAAAAAUUGCGGACUAAACAGGCUAGAUCGAUAGGUUGGAUCCGUUUUACCACCCCUACUUAGAAAUAGUAAUCGUCAUAAAUGUGGCUUCCCGCGUUAGUUAGUUACCUAGUUCUCUUUCUCUAUAAAUAGUUGUUCAAAUGAUGUAAAUAAGGUCAUAUACUUGCAUUUUGAAGCGUACUCAUGAAUUUAAAACGGAUUUUAGUUCUCAGGAUCUGCCUUUACAUUUUGUGAUCAAACUUUUAUGUUUCUUUGCAAUUUAUGUUCAAGCAAUUUAAUUCCAAGUCCUUUAAACUUUCAAGCAUUUCUAUUUCAAAUCAUUUACUUUUUAGCAAACUAUACAUUUUGUACAAUCUAUGUUAUGUCAUUUUAAAGUUCCCUCUGAUGUCAUUUUAUUUUCAGUAAUUUGUAAGAUUGUCUUUAAUUUUUCGCAAAUUGUAUUUUCGUCUCAGUAUCUCUGUUGGUUCUUAAAAAAUACGUAAACUCUCACCAAUAAUUAUUCGAGUCAAGAACUUUAUUAAUCCACGCACACGCACUCACACACGCAAGGUCUCACAAGUUACCAAUUAGCUUGGCUAAGAUCCAAUGAUUACAUAGAUUAAACAUUCAUUUAUGGUCGGUUUGACAUGCUUCACCGUUAACCAAAACCGUCCUAAACAAUGAUAUAUGUAUACAUAUAGUUAGCAAAAUAAAUAAAAAUAGAAUUAAUCAUGUAUAUAAUUUUAAGCUUUGAAUAUUUUCUUUAGAUAUAAUAGCACAAGUUAAGUCUCAAUAUAGUUCAUCUCUAUCACCAAAAAGUUUAACCUUUGUCGAUGAAUGAACUAACCAAAGUUCAACUAAUCACAAGUUAAUCUCACUGUAGCUCAUUUGGUUCAGAAAAGAUGUAGAACGUUUGUCGACCAAUGAGCUAACCACAAUUCAAUUGUUCAUACGUUAAGCUUCAUUGUAGUUUGUCCGAUUCAAAAGAGAUCAAACCUUUGUCGACCAAUGAAGUUUAAAUACUUAAUUAAUGUGGUUUGAUUUAAUAUAAACAAUUGUAAUAAUUUUUAAUAUAAAAAUACAUUUAUCAUGUAAAAUUGUACCAUUAAUAUAUAAUAUACUUCUUUAAAAUGAAUACUACAAAAUCAUUUCCCAUUCCCCAUUUAGUCUCUUGACUCUAUGCAUUUCCCAACUUAUACGUUUUCCCAAUCUUUAAUUAUUUGGUUCCUAUCAAGUCAAGACAAACUUAUAUUGUGCAUUAUUUGUCUGUUCUUGGCAACUUUAAUUGUUAUCAUCUGCAUAAAAAAAUAUCACUUAUUUAGCCCCCAAAUGACCGGCUUCUCAACACCAAGUAAAGUCUACAGCAGCAUGCAUGAACCUAUAUUCACGAUAAGUGUGAUUGUUACAUAUUCUGGAUUUCCACCAAGUCCCGAAUUAAAGAGAAUGAGACUGUUUUGUAAGCAACCAUUAAGAUAAAAACCAUGGUCUAGAAAUAUAAGCGCCUUUUAAAUUGUUAAAUGUAUUCAAUUAUUAGGCUGAUGCUUUCAACUUAGUACACACCAAUGUUAUAGAAUUUGGUCACAAUAUUACGUCAUAUCGGUCUUUGUUCUCCUCUCAUUUUGCAAACUUUAGGAUGAAGUUUACUCGACCAACGAAUAUAUAUAUAUAUAUAUAUAUAUAUAUAUAUAUAUAUAUAUAUAUAUAUAUUAUUUUUUUUACUUUUUUUUUAUUUAUUUUUUGUCUUAAAUGAAGUGGUAAACCACUGAACUCACACAACUGUGAGGUCCCAGGUUCGAACCCGGGUCAUGAUGUCUGGCCUGCAAUUUCAGCAUUUUCUAGUUAAGCUAGAACUUCUAGACUUGUUACUCUUAUAUUUAAUGAAAUGCUAUAAACAUUUUUGACUUAAAAAAAAAAAAUUCAAUUAAUCAGUUCAUAAUGAUGGAACUCAUCAUCAGCAAGAGUUCCUAAAUUUAAGUUGUGAUUCUGGCAAAUCUUAAAUGGUUUAAGUAUAUGCAAUUGAUUAAUUAUAUGUCAAGCAUAAAAAAUUUCAUAGAGUUAAAUUUUGCAACUUCAAUCUAUACUCAUUUUUUUUAAUUGUUUUACUACUCAUUCUGUACUUUAAUAAGUGAUCAUUUUGUAAAAAAUUAUUGUUUUAAAAUAACUUAUCCAUUUUACUUUUUAAUGCAAUAUUAAUUACUUUUUUUCAAUUCAAUUUAUUUCCAAUUUAUUAUAUUUAUGCUAAUGGAAAAUGCACCAAUACUUAACAAAAGCACUUAAAAUCAUUUUCUCUAUCCUUCAUUUAUACAUUUAAUAAAUGUGAAAUGAGCAAAUGACUAAGUGAAUUUUUUUUUUGGUUACAAAUGACUAAGUGAAUUUAGGACCGAGGGAGUAUUAUUUUUGGGGAAAAAAACCAGAAUCAUUUCUGUUAAAUGUGAUGAAUCUGUUAUACCUUUUCUAAUAAUUGAGUUGAAUGAUAUAAAAUUAUAUUUUGAAUAUGUAGAGUAGAGUGCAGCUGCAGCAUAUAUAUAUUUUGGAUGGAUAAGUCUUGAUGAUAUCAGAUAGUGUUUCGUUGUGCGGCUUGCAUGAGCUCAAGAAUAAAACUUAUGGUGGAGGUCCACAAUCAUAUAUUUAUUGAUUUAGUGACCUUGCACUAAUAUUUGUCCAAUUAAAUUAAAUAGUCUUUAUAAUCGUGGAAAGGUUAUCGAAAGCUGCCAUGCAUGCAAAAUUUUAGUUUAAGAAGGGAUCUGGAUCUUCUGCUGUAACUGCUUUAUGCAGUAUAGAUCUCGACCAUAAAAAAGUGAUUCAUUGGUUCAGUUUUAUUUGAUAAAUUUUCACACAGUUUAAUUUUAACCAUUCGUUUUUAAUCGGACAAAUCAAUUCUCACCCCCACAAACUAAAAUGUACACUAUGUUGUUUGCUAUUAUCUUUUUUAAUUAAAAAAAAAUUAUUCUAGUUUUCUCAUAGAGUAUAUCAAAAAGUGGUGGCUUCACUAGUAUGCAUCAAUUAUUGUGUUAAGUUGGAAUUUUUUCAUUUUAAAAGAAAAAUAUCUCAGACUUUGUAAGCUUCCUUGUCUUUUCCUCUAUUAUCUUUUUCCACAAAUCCAAGAAACAUUGGCAAUAUUGCUAUUAAAGGUUAAAACCAUUGGCUUAUCCCUGUACACAACAUUCAAACACAAACUCAGAAAUGAGUGAUUCAAAACCACAUGCAGUGUUAAUUCCAUAUCCAGUUCAAGGCCAUAUCAAUCCAUUAAUCAAACUAGCAAAACUUCUUCACCUUAGAGGCUUUCACAUAACAUUCGUCAACACCGAAUACAAUCACAAACGCUUGCUCAAAUCAAGAGGUCCAAAUGCCUUUGUUGGUUUCACUGAUUUUACCUUUGAGGCUAUACCAGAUGGUCUACCUUCAAACGAAGGCGAUGGUGAUGGUGAUGUUAGUCAAGACAUAUAUGCUCUUUGUGAAUCAAUCAGAAAGAACUUCCUACAACCUUUUCGCGAACUUAUUUCUAGACUUAAUGACUCUGCCACUUCUGGUCUUGUCCCUCCGGUUACGUGCAUAAUUGCUGAUAAUAGCAUGUCUUUUACCAUACAAGCUGGUGAAGAACUUUCAAUCCCUGUUGUUUUCUUUAGUCCAGCCAAUGCAUGUACAUUUUGGACUGGUUUUCACUUACUUACAUUGUUUGAUAAAGGUGUCAUACCACUAAAAGGUAACGAUCAUUUAAUCUUCUUUCUUUCUUCAUAGGUGUAGUGUAGUUAAAGUGUUCAUAUGACAUGUAUUAGGAAUCUGGAGAUUUUAUUUCAAGCUAACAACUUUUGUAAAUUUGACAUGCAGAUGAGAGUUAUCUGACAAACGGAUAUUUGGAUACUAAAGUGGACUGUAUUCAAGGAUUGCAGAACUUUCGACUGAAGGAUCUUCCCGGCUAUAUAAGGAUUACAGAUCCAAAUGAUUGCAUAGUACAAUUUACAAUUGAAGCAGCAGGAAGGGCUCACAGAGCCUCUGCUUUUAUUUUUAAUACUUCUAAUGAACUUGAAAAGGAUGUAAUGAAUGUUCUCUCCUCGACGUUCCCUAAUAUUUGUGCUAUUGGUCCUUUAUCUUCACUUUUAAGUCAAAGUCCACAAAAUCACUUGGCAAGUUUAAGUACCAAUCUUUGGAAAGAAGAUACCAAGUGUCUUGAUUGGCUUGAAUCCAAGGAACCGAAGUCCGUUGUUUAUGUGAAUUUUGGGAGCAUGACCGUUAUGACUGCAGAAAAACUAUUAGAGUUUGCUUGGGGUUUGGCGAAUAGCAAGCAACCCUUUUUGUGGAUCAUUAGGCCUGAUCUUGUCAUUGGCGGCUCAGUUGUUUUGUCAUCAGAGUUUGUGAAUGAAAUUUCAGAUAGAGGCCUAAUCGCGAGCUGGUGUCCUCAAGAGCAAGUAUUAAACCACCCUUCAAUUGGCGGAUUCUUGACUCAUUGUGGAUGGAACUCAACCACUGAAAGCAUAUGUGCUGGAGUGCCAAUGUUGUGUUGGCCAUUUUUCGCGGAUCAGCCAGCAAACUGCAGAUAUAUAUGCAAUGAAUGGGAAAUUGGGAUGGAAAUUGACACCAAUGUGAAGAGAGAUGAGGUAGAGAAGCUGGUCAAUGAAUUGAUGGUGGGAGAGAAAGGAAAGAAAAUGAGGCAAAAGGCAAUUGAGUUGAAGAAGAAGGCAGAGGAGGACACGAGACCAGGAGGUUGUUCAUAUAUGAACUUGGACAAAGUGAUCAAUGAGGUGCUGCUGAAACAAAAUCAAACUUAAAAAAAAAAAAAUUAUGCAAAGAGUUUCUUAUUGAAUUUAAGUGAUGAUGUAAAUGAACUGAUCUUCAGCAAGAGAUGGUAAACUUAAAAUAACGAUUCUUGCUUAUCUUGAAUGGUUUGAAUAUAUGCACAUUGGAUAAUUAUAUAGCAGGUAUAUUAACCCUACAUCUUUAAAUUUGUUAAGUUGGGGGAAGUAAGAGUCCUUUCACAGUAUCUUGAAUUCCAUUAUCAUUUGAAUGAUUCAUUUUGUCAAAAAAUAAUUUUUCCUAUGUAUUCCAGUUCAAAUCAACAUUCUCCAAUAGCACAUAAUACUUAUAGUUUUGUUAAGGACAAGUAAUUUGUUGAGAUUAAUAGGCAUGCUUUGACGGUGUAAAACUUUUAUAUACCAAUCAAAUCACGCUAAAUGUUAUUUUUAGAGAUAUUUGAAGAACUAACCGACAAAAUUGACAUAAUUAUGCGACUUUUUUUUAAGAAAUAAUGAUGUGAUUGGUGUAAACAUGUUUCUCAUUGAGUCCACUAACGAAUACCUCCUUCUCAUUUUUUUAAAAAUUCUCAGGUAAUCUUUCGAUUAUUCUCCGUUUCUCUUCCUUUGUUGUUGUUGUUGUGGUUUAGGGUUUAUGGAACGACUUUUAGUUUUGAUUUAGGUUUCUGUCGUUACUGUUAGUAGAAAGUGCAGGUUAGCAUGUACGUGAACCCAGUUCGUGAAUUUCUGGCAUGAUGUUGUGUGGUAGAUUUGGAACUCCCGCAAUGAUUUGAUCUUUGCUCGAGAAACAACCAAACUCUUUUCAAAUAUUUAUACUAUAUUUGUCAUUCAAACAAAAAAAAAAUCACGAAUUCUUAGUUUAGGUAAGGAUGGUUAGAGUAUUUGGGAUGUAGUUUGUGUCGAUUUUGUAACCAAAACACAUUAGAUACAAAGUGGUUACAAGAAAUUAGAUCUAAGAGCUCACAUGAACAAUCACUAAUAUCCCCGCAUAGAGAACCUUGGAGAAAACAAGAGAGAAUUUUUUUUUUUAUCCUUAAUCUAACGAAUCUCACUAAUCAAGGUGUUCAGAAAGUGUUUCCCAAUUCAAGAAUCUCACCCAAAAACACUUGCCCUUAGCAGUUAAGUUCUUUCCUUUUGUUUGACAAGAUUACACAAAAAAAUAAAGAAUGCUUAAAUAAGGUCAAAAACCCAAUCCAAAAUCGCCUCACAAUUUUGCACAUCGUGGUGCAAUCCAACCAAGUAGAAAGAGCCAUUGCACCAAACUUCACGAUCAUCGGGGCACAAUUUUGACACUAAAAAAACUUGGAAAUUUUGAGUCAUACCAAGAAAUCUCAAACUAUAUCUAAAAAAUACAUGCAUGGCAUUCCAACCAUUCAGUGGAAGAUAUCAUCAAACAGUAUAUGAUUGUGGAUAUUCACCCUCAUAAUUUUCAAUUUUUACUUGAAUUGCAAGUAUAAUAUAUAUUUCUCAUAUCAAAGAUUCUGGUUUUACAGAGGAAAACAUUUUCAAAUUGAUUAAGCAACAAAGACCACUCAUUAUUUUGUCAUAUAUAGUCUAUUGGUUAUUAUUUACCCAUGUCUGAAUCCGGCAAAUUUUGGAUAUCGCCAAAAUAUCAGCCCCUCCAAGAAUUUGGACACAUAAUAAAGAACAGAAUUUUUUUGUCUUUCAACAAGGACUAUAGAUUCUCUCCAAAGUCACAAUUACAUAAAAGCCAAAUUUUCCAAUCAAGAGUGUGGAUGUAUUUUAAUACUUUAUUAUGGGCCAUAAUUUUUGGGUAUAUGAGGUAUCAGCUCGGGACAAAAGGUAUUUCAUAAAAUGGUUAUUAUUGUCACUUUAGAAUGAAGACUCAAUUCGGUCCUUCACAAAAAAUUUGUGGGCCAAUUUAGUCUCUAACAAAAAAUAAACCCAAAAUAGUCCUUCUAUUUUAAUAUUGACGAGAAAUUAGAACGUAACUCUUUGUAUUAGAGUAACUAAUUUGUCCGUUGUAUGAAAAUCCCAAGGAAUAAUUUGGAUUUAUUUUUUGUGAGGGAUUAAAUUGGUCAGCGAGAAAUUGUGAGGGACUGAAUUGGAGCUUCACUCUUAAUAGUAAUUCCUUAUUUUCCUUAACAAGAAAAUUCAUUUUCAAUAUCCAAUGUGCUUUGAGAAAUGUUUAAGAACCGGGGAUCUCUGGUGCAGAAAGUUUCACUGGUUCGAUCUCUGAUCCCAGCUUUUAAACAUUGCUUGGUAUGUUACAGAGCUUUUUUCCUUCUUGGAAUUCAUUCAAUGAAUAAAAGAAUUACAAAUGUUAUGCUAUCCUCUAUUUUCUCUCUAAAUUCAAUAGAUUAAAUCAUUUAAAAGAAAGACAAGGAAGGAUCUUCACUAUAUAUGAGUUAAACAUAUAUAUGAUAUUCUUACCUUUAUAAAUCUGUUAUCAAUUAGAAAAAUUUAAUUUUAAUUUAAUUUAAUACUAAUACACAGAGAAAAAAGAUUUUAAUAUAGUACAAACUAAUUAAAUGAAUUAGUUUAUGUUAGCUUUGUAUCACAUAAAUCUGGUAUCAAGUAAUUGUGGAAGGAGCCUUGUUCCAAACUUCAAUUAUAUGAAGUUUCAUCCUAAUCAGGCUGUAGAAAAAAUAUUUGAAGCUUCACAUAAUGUUAAUUGAUGACACACUGCCAUAACAAUAUUUUUGUUAAAGCACGCACAUUGCGCAGUUGAAGAAAACACAGGACAGGCCCGCCUCAUGUGCAUCCCACAGAAGCACCGGCGCAUCGCGCAGGGUGUUCAAGUUUGGGACUGUGCAUCGCACACAACACUCCCUGAAUUGGGUGAUUUUGCUUUCUCUAUUUACAAAGCUGAGAAGCUUUAUUUUCAGGAAGUCAAGGUUGAAGAUUGAACUAAGAAACAAGAUUGAAGCAACUUUGUUAUCAAUUUAUUCAUGAGUGAUUUCUUUAAAUUAGGAUGGUAGAUAAACUUUUGUGAUCAGCUUGAACCAUGUAAUCGUUGAUUACUCUUUUAUGCAAUUGCAAUCUAAGAUAAACUCUGAAUAUGAACUUAGAAAUUUAUUACUUUGAUUGACGAUUUGGUACACUUACCAAUAAUCCACCAAUAAACCCAAAUUAAAUAUUGAAACAAUACAUAGUUAAAAAUACAGUACAUCAAAGCAUAGUAAUGGCCUAAAAAUUUCGAUACGACCUCCUGGCUUAAUUUUGUUUAAGCAACACAUCCUUAAUAACUUUGUUCAAGUUCAUGUAUGAACAACCACCUGGUCUAGUGUUCUCCUCUGCCUUCUUCUUCAACUCCAUGGCCUUUUGCUUCAUUUUCUUUCCUUUAUCUCCGGCUAUCACUUCAUUGAUCAGCUUUGCCAACUCCUCUCUCUUCACAUUCGUAUCGAUUUCCAUACCAAUCUCCCAUUCAUUACAAAUAAAUCUACAGUCUGUUGGCUGGUCGGCAAAAAAUGGCCAACACAACAUUGGCACUCCAGCGCAUAUACUUUCAGUGGUUGAAUUCCAUCCGCAAUGAGUCAAGAAUCCUCCGAUUGAAGGGUGGUUCAACACUUUGUCUUGUGGACACCAACUUGCUAUUAGGCCUCUAUCUGCAAUUUCAUUUGUAAACUCAGAUGAGAAAAUCACUGAGCCACCAAUGACAAGAUCAGGCCUUAUGAUCCACAAAAAUGAUUUCUUGCAAUUGGCCAAACCCCAAGCAAAUUCCAGUAAUUGCUCGGGUGUCAUAACUGUAAUGCUGCCGAAAUUCACAUAAACAACUGAUCCCGGCUCCUUGGAUUCAAGCCAAUCAAGACACUCUGUAUCUUCUUUCCAAAGGUUGGAAUCUAAAGAGUCCAAUUGAUGAAUUUGUGGAGUUUGUUUUAAUAAUGAAGGUAAAGGGCCAAUCGGAUAAAUAGAAGGAAUUGUGGAGGAGAGAGCAUUUAUUACAUCACUCUCAAGUUCAUUGAAAGUAUUCAAAAGAAUAGUAGUGUCUUUGUUAACUCGAUCUGCAACUUCUAUAAAGAAUUCUAACAUAAUAUCAUUUGGAUUUGUUGUCCUGAUAAAGUCAACGAUGUCCUUCAACCGAAAGUUUUUCAAACCGGGAAUCCAAUCUACUUUAGUUUCCAAACAUCCAUUUGUUAGAUAACUCUCAUCUGCAUAUCAUAAGGACGAAAGUUAAUAGCUUGAAGGUUCAUACACACAGAUAUAUAAGGUGUUACACAUUUAAUAAAAGUUAUUUGUUGAAGAAUAAAUUUUAUUUUUGAACUUUUUAAAUUUUAUUUUUUUUGAAGGAAACUUUUUAAAUAAUUUGACAGUUGGAUUGUUAUUAACUGGAUUAACUAAUCUGUGAGUUAUAAACUCCGGUAAGAGUUUGACCUUGUAAAUUCAGGUAGUUGAAAUACUUUUGUAAACAAUUGUAAAAUUAUGAUCGGUAAUAAUUUUCCCCUUUACUAAAUUUUAAAAAAUAAAAUGGAAUAACAUUAUGUCAAGACUAUAACUCUUGGAGUAAUUUAAUUUGUAUAUAUAUAUAUAUAUAUAUAGAGAGAGAGAGAAUAAACUUAGUACCUUUGAAUGGUAUGAUACCUCUUUCUACAAAGGAACGAAAGUGCAUAACAUUCAAUAAAGAACAUGCACUUGAUGAAAAAUAGAGAACAUUUGGGAGUUCAAAUUCUUCAGCAGCUUGUAUAGUAAAGCUCAUACAACAAUCAGAAACUAAGCAAGUAACUGGUGGAACAUUGGUAGAGUGGUUAAGUCUUGUAAGAAGUUCACAAUAGGGUUUAAGGAAGUUCUUUCUUACUGAUUGACAAAGAGUUGGUACAUCUUGACUAACAUCACCAUCACCUUCCAUUGGUGUUAAACCAUCUGGAAUGCUCUCAAAGUUAAAGUCCGUGAAACCAUCAAAAGCCUUUGGACCUCUUGAUUUGAGCAAGCGUUUGUGAUUGUAUUCGGUGUUAACAAAGGUUAUGUGAAAGCCUCUAAGGUGAAGAAGCUUUGCUAGUUUGAACAAUGGAUUGAUAUGGCCUUGAACUGGAUAUGGAAUCAUCACAACAUGUGGUUUUCUGUUUGCAAAGUUUCCC
rnacentral:lncRNA from 1 species